rnacentral:lncRNA from 1 species
AUUCAUAAUGAGGAAAAUCUGGAAGAUGUUUAUAUAUGAUAAAAUGUUAUGUAUUUCAGUAGAAUUCAUACGAACACACAGCAUGGUAUAGUCUAACACUAAACCAAGGGCAGGGAGAUCCAGGUUGUGGUACCUACAAUGAAACCACAGACAAAUGCAAGAGAAUGGCAGGUUUUGGUGGUUGGGCCAUCAGAGAAAGGCAUAGUCUGUCAACAUGGCUUGAUUGAAUAUGGGGCACAGGGCCUCCAAGGGACAGAGGGGCCAUUUAUUGAAUCCCAGCCUAAGGGUUGUUUGCAGAUGAAGGGGCACAGUGUCCAAUGUAUGGUGAUGAUUUGGGGCAGCAACUUCCAUUGA